CAAUAAAGGAUCCUAUCCGUCCAUAUCACCAUCUGCAGUUUAAUCUUGGCCAUCCAUCAAAUCCUCGAACUGCUAUAAAUACAACUGCGCUUCCUUAUAACCAAUUAUCUUGGCGCUAACGCGUGUUCUGUAAGAUCGAUUCAUUUAGUUUCCUCUUCUUCGUUUAUUCUGAUGUUACUGUUGCGACCGUAAUUAGGGUUUUAUUGGCUCCUGUUCGUAGUGAUUCUUUCAAGAUUAUAUCGGUUUUGAUAUUUGAUCUGAUUUAUCUGGGUUUGGUAUUAUGCGAUCUUUAUACGAACUUUUUCUGGCGCUAGAUUUUGAUAUUUUGAUCUGAAAAAUUAGGGUUUGGUAUUGAAUUUGGCUUAUGAUUUCAAUUUAUAUCGGAUUCGUUCGGACACAGAUUAUAGUUUCAAAUAACGGCCUGGUAGCUUUUUAAGCUGAUUUCCUUAUGCAUCUCUUUUUGAAUUAUCAACUAACUAUAUUUAGUGUUUGGAUUUGGAUGACCCUGGAAUUUCUUAGUUGAUUUAUUUUCGAUCCAUCCAAGAAAGGUUUCAUGAGUGUUGGUUGUGUUGUUUCCAGGUCUUCAUAUCGAUACCUGAUGGAUUAGAUUGGAAAUCAUCAUCUUAGGGUUUGCCAGAUAUUCCAGCAUUCUACAAGCUGCUCGAAGAACUAUGUGUUCUCAAGGAUUGAAUAUGGGUUUUCCUGAAUUAAAUUAUUUUGUCAAUUAAUGAUUUCUGAGUUUGGUGGAUUUUAAGUUUUGGCUGGUUUGUCUUCUAGGAAUCCACCGGUUGUUUGGAGAUGAGGACGAGAUUGUUAAAUGCGCUUCUUGUCUCUGUUAUUUUUUGAUUUUUACUUUAUCCAAUUUUUCUUUUGGAUGUUGAUGGAUCAUGAGUGGUUGUUGUCUUCUUUUCCAGGUCCUCGUAAUAUUAGGGAUAUAAUCUGACUGAUUGGAUUGAAAAAUCAUCUUAGAUUUGCGGGAUAUUUUAACACUCCACAAGCUGCUAGGAGCACUGUGUUUGUGUUCUCAAGGAUUGAAAAUGGGUUUUGCUGAAUUUAACUAUUUUGUCAAUUAAUGAUUUUGAGUUUGGUGGAUUUUAAGUUUUGGCUGGUUUGUUUGCUAGGAAUCUACCAGUUCUUUGGAGAUACGGAUGCGAGAUUGGAAAAUGGCUUCUGUGUCUCUAUUACUUUAUGAUUUAACGAUUUUUAUUUUAUCGUCAGUAAUUGGUCUGUUCUAGUUCGGUGAUUUUGUUUUUUGGUUAUGUAGUUUUCCAGGAUUACAUUAGAUGGUAAUGGUGGAGAAUUAUAAGAGGAUGUAUCUGUUCUAUUCCUUAUAGUCAGGGAGUGGGCAAUUCUUCUAGUGUUUGUCUCUGUGUUUUAGUCAACUAAUUCUUUCCAUAGUAAAGUAGCAUAUUUUUUGGUUGGUUUUAAUGUUUACGUUUUUAGGAUUCAGGGGAUGGUGAUAAGAUGAUUAUGCCCUCAGAUACCAGUUUUUCUUUAUCCUCGAGUAAAUAGAGAACUGCACUCAGAUUACUUUUGUGUGGUAAACUGGUAAUGAUAAGGGAGCUCUAAUUUGGUAUUAAUAUAAUUUUGUAUUGAGUUUCAAGGUGUACUUUUACAAUGGCUUACAUGUAAUUUUUAGAUCUUUGGUAAUUAAUUACUCUUGAUUUUCUGGAUAUUCUUUGCUCUAACAUUCUAGAAGCUGCUCGGAGCACUUCACGUUCUCAUGGAUUUUAAAUGGGUUUGCCUGAAUUUGACUAUUUACUUAACUAAUGAUUUCUGGAUUUGGUGGAUUUUAAAUAUUGGCUGGUUUGUUUUCUAGGAAUCAACUAGCUGUUUGGAGAUAUUGGCAAGAUUGGAAAAUGGACUUCUGGUUCUCUCUGUCUCUGUUACUUUGUGAUUUAAUAAUUUUCUCUAUAAAUCAUUGGGUUAUCCUUACUAGUAUAGUGAUUUUAUUUUCUGGUUGUGUGGCUUUCCAGGAUUCCAUUAGAUGGUGUAUCAAUAUGAAAAAGAUGCCUUUUUCCUGUUCCUUAUAAUCAGGAGUUGGUGAUUUUCCAGUGUUUCCCGUGUUGUUUUAGACAACAGUAUAAUUUUCAGUUGCUUUCAUUUUCGGUUUCAGGAUUCAGGGGUUGGGAUGAGCAUGCCUCAUAUUGCAGUUCUCUUUAGUCUCAAAUAAAUAGAGAACGAUUGGCUCAUAUAAUCUCUUGAUUGCUGAUGAUUAGGGAGUUCUAAUUUUGGCAAUUUAUCAAUUUAUAUUUUUUUGAGUUUCAAAGCAUUAUUGUACAGUAACUUUUAUGGGAAUUUUUGAUGUCCUUUUUUGGAUCCAUAUGAACAUGAAGUCUUUGAUUUAGAUGAGCUAAAAUGCAUUUAUUGUGAACAAAUACUUAAUUAGGAACUUCUUUGUUUCUACUCAUUAGGUCCACUUUUCUCCUGUCCCAAAAUUUAAUUGGUCGACUCUUUAGAUAUGCUCGCCAGGUCCAUUUUUAUCCUGUCCUGAUAUCUAAUUGGUCGAUUCUUCACAUAGGCUUUUAAUUUUCUAGUGUUGCAGAGUAUGAAGAGAAGGGUGUGGAGAUCAUUAGGGCCAUUUUUCUCCUAUCCCGAAAUUUAAUUUUCCAGAUUUGCAUAAUCCACCAGCUGUUUGGAGAUAUAAGAGCGAGAUUUUAAAAUGCGUUUCUCUGUCUAUUACUUUUUGAUUUAUUGAUUUGUUUGAUUAUUGAUUGUUACUUCUCAAACCCUCUCUCUUUGUGUAUUGUAGGAUGAAAGAAAGAUUUUCGUUGAUUUUACUUUAUCCAAUUCUUCUUUUGGAAUUUUUUGUUUGAUUUAUUUUCGAUCCAUCCAGUGAAAGAAAGGCUUCAUGAGCGUUGGUUGGUUGUGUUGUUUCCAGGUCUUCAUAAUAUUGAUACCUGAUGGAUUAGAUUGGAAAUCAUCAUCUUAGGGUUUGCCAGAUAUUCCAGCAUUCUAUAAGCUGCUUGGAGCACUAUGUGUUCUCAAGGAUUGUAUAUGGGUUUUCCUGAAUUAAAUUAUUUUGUCAAUUAAUGAUUUUUGAGUUUGGUGAAUUUUAAUUUUUGGCUGGUUUGUUUUCUAGGAAUCCACCGGUUGUUUGGAGAUAUGAGGACGAAAUUGGAAAAUGCGUUUCUCUGUCUCUGUUAUUUUUUGAUUUUUACUUUAUCCAAUUUUUCUUUUUAAUGUUGGUGGAUCAUGAGUGUUGGUUGUGUUCUUUUCCAGGUCCUCAUAAUGUUAGGGAUAUAACCCGACUGAUUGGAUUGGAAAAUCAUCUUAGAUUUGCUGGAUAUUUUAAGUUUAACAUUUGUGUUCUCAAGGAUUGAAAAUGAGUAUUCCUAAUCUAAUUAUUUUGGCAGUUAAUACUUUCUGAGUUUGGUGGAUUUUAAAUUUUGGCUGGUUGUUUGCUAGGACUGCACCAGUUGUUUGGAGAUAUGCAUGCGAGAUUGGAAAACGGGUUUCGGUGUUUUUAUUACAUUGUGAUUUAAUGAUUUUUGUUAUUGUUGGUUUUGGCUGUAUAUUUGUUCUAGUUUGGUGAUUUUGUUUUUUGGCUAUGUGGUUUUCCAGGAUUCCAUUAGAUGGUAAUGAUGGAGCAAUAUAAAGAGGUGUAUCUGCUCUAUUUCUUAUAGUCAGGGAGUGGGUGGUUCUUAUAAUGUUUGUCUGCAUGUUUUAGUCAUCUAAUUCUUUCGAUAGAAAAGUAGCAUAUUUAUAGUUGGUUUUAAUGUUUUCGUUUUUAGGUUUCAGGGGAUGAGGAUGAAAUGAUAUAUGCCUAAUAUACCAGUUUUUCUAUAUCCUCAAGUGAAUACAAAACUGUGCACUCAGAUUACUUUGGAGUACUGAUGAUAAGGGAUCUCUAGUUUGGUAUUAAUUUAUUUUUUAUUGAGUUUCAAGGUGUAUUUUUACAAUGAAUUACAUGUAAAGUUUAGAUCUUUGGUAAUUAAUUACUCUUGAUUCAUUCCAGAUGCUGCUCGGAGCACUUUAUGUUCUCAUGGAUUUAAAAUUGGUUUGCCUUAAUUUGACCAUUAUCAACUAAUGAUUUCUGGAUUUGGUGGAUUCUAAAUAUUGAUUGGUUUGUUUUCUAGGAAUCAACUAGCUGUUUGGGGAUAUGUGGGCAAGAUUGGAAAAUGGACUUUUAGUUCUCUCUGUCUCUGUUACUUUGUGAUUUAAUAAUUUUCUUUAUAAUCAUUGUAGGAAACCAAUUAUUUAAUUUUAUGUAAUAACUUACGUGAAGUUGCAUUUUGUUUUUAAUUAAUUAAAAAUUUGAAGAUAAUAUUAUUUUCAAUAUCUAAAUUAGCUAAAUAAAUAAGAGUUAUAAUUGUAUUUUAAUCAAUUUAACUGGAAAAGUAAAAAUUAUCUAUAUUUUGUUAAGAAAGUUAUUUCCUAAUUAAAGAAAAAUCAACCCCUCAUUUUUCCGAAAAGUAAAUUGACAGGAGACUUUUUUUUUAGAAUUUAUUCCCAAUCAAAUGAGGCUUAAUAUUAUUAAACUAAUCACUAAAAGGAUUGGUGAAGUUGACCUCCAAGUAAGGUUUUAUGAGUGUUGGUUGUGUUAUUUCCAGGUCUUCAUAAUAUCGAUACCUGAUGGAUUAGAUUGGAAAUCAUCAUCUUAGGGUUUUUGCCAGAUAUUCCAGCAUUCUACAAGCUGCUUCGAGAACUAUGUGUUCUCAAGGAUUGAAUAUGGGUUUUCCUGAAUCAAAUCAAAUUAUUUUGUCAAUUAAUGUUUUUUGAGUUUGGUGGACUCUAAUUUUUGGCUGGUUUGUUUUUAGGAAUCCACUGGUUGUUUGGAGAUAUGAGGACGAGAUUAGAAAAUGCAUUUCUCUGUCUCUAUUAUUUUUUGAUUUUUACUUUAUCCAAUUUUUCAUUUGGAUGUUGGUGGAUCAUGAGUGUUGGUUGUGUUCUUUUUCAGGUCCUCGUAAUAUUAGAGAUAUAAUCUGACUGACUAGAUUGGAAAAUCAUCUGAGAUUGGCUGCUUCUAGGAGCACUGUGUUUGUGUUCUCAAGGAUUGAAAAUGGGUUUUGCUGAACUAAACUAUUUUGUCAAUUAAUGAUUUAUGAGUUUGGUGGAUUUUAAGUUUUUGCUGGUUUGUUUGCUAGGAAUGAACCACUUGUUUGGAGAUAUGCAUGCGAGAUUGGGAAAUGGCUUCUGUGUCUCUAUUACUUUGUGAUUUAAUGAUUUUUCUUUUAUCAUUGGUAAUUGAUCUGUUCUAGUUAGGUGAUUUUGUUUUUUGGUUAUGUGGCUUUCCAGGAUUCCAUUAGAUGGUGUAGCAAUAUGAAAAAGAUGCCUCUGUCCUGUUCCUUACAAUCAGGAGUUGGUGGUUUUUCUAGUGUUUCUCGUGUUUGUCUGCAUGUUUUAGAGAAUAGCAUAAUUCUUGUUUGCUCUGGUUUCCGAUUUCAGGAUUCAAGGGUUGGGAUGAGCAUGCCUCAUACUGCAGUUCUCUUUAUUCUCAAGUAAAUAGAGAAGGAUUGGCUCAGAUGACCUCUUGACUGCUGAUGAUAAGGGAGUUCUAAUUUGGCAAUUUAUUAGUUAAUAUUUUUUUUGAGUUUCAAGUCAUUUUUGUACAGUAACUUAUAUGUGAAUUUUAGAUGUCUUUUUUUGAAUCCUUAUGGACAUGAAGUCUUUGAUUUAAAUGAGCUAAAAAUGCACUUUUUGUGAACAGAUACUUACUUUGGAAAUUCUAUGGUACUGCUCAUUAGGUCCACUUUUCUCCUGUCCUGUAAUUUAAUUGGUCAAUUCUUCACAUAUGUUCAUUAGGUCCAUUUUUCUCCUCCUGUCCCAAAAUCUAGUUUGUCGAUUCUUCACGUAGGUUUUUUAUUUUCCAGAGUUGCAGAUAAUGAGAUGUGUGCGGGGAUCAUUAGGGCCAUUUUUCUCCUGUCCCGAAAUUUAAUUUUCCAGAGUUGCAGAAUUCCCCAGCUGUUUGAAGAUAUGAGGGCGAGAAUUGCAAAAUGCUUUUUUUGUCUCUAUUACUUUUUGAUUUAGUGAUUUGUUUAUUCGUUGACUGUUGUUUUUCAGACCCUCUCAAUUGUAGGAUGAAAGAUUUCAUUUGAUUUUACUUUAUCCAAUUCUUCUUUUGGAUGUUGGUGGAUCAUGAGUGUUGGUGUCAUAAGUGUUGAUUGUGUUCUUUUCCAGGGUCCUCAUAAUAUCUGGGAUAUUAUCUGACUAAUUAGAUUGGAAAAUCAUCUUAAAUUUGCUGAAUAUUCUAACAUUCCACAAGCUGCUAGGAGCACUAUGUGUUUUGAAGGAUUGGAAAUGAGUUUUUCCCGAAUUUUACUAUUUUUUUUCAAUUUAUGAUUUUUGAGUUUGGUGGAUAUUAAGUUUUGGCUGGUUUGUUUGCUAGGAAUCCUCCAGUUGUUAGGAGAUAUGCGUUGCCAGAUUGGAAAAUGGUCAUCUGUGUUUCUAUUACUUUGUGAUUUAAUGAUUUUUAUUAUCGUUGGUUUUUGAGUGGUUGUCUGUUUUAGUUUGCUGAUCUUGUUUUUUUCGGUUUUGUGGUUUUUCAGGAUUCCAUUAGAUGGUGGAGCAAUAUAAUUAGGUUUCUCUGUUCUUUUCCUUAUAGUGAGGGAGUGGGUGAUUUUUCUAGUUCGAUAGAAAAAUAGCAUAUUUUAGUUGGAUUAAUGUCUUCGUUUUAGGAUUUAGGAGAUGGGGAUGAGAUGAGUAUGCCUCGUAUACCGGUUUUUUUGUCCUCAAGUAAAUAAAGAACUGUGCACUCAGAUCACUCUUGAGUGCUAAUGACAAAGGAGCUCUAAUUUGGUAAUACAUUUUUUAUUGAGUUUCAAGGUGUAUUAAACUAACUUACAUGUGAAUUUUAAAUUUGGUAGUGAAUUACUUGAUUUGCUGGAUAUUGUAGAAAUCUACAAGCUGCUUGGAGCACUAUGCGUUCUCAUGGAUUAAAAAUAAGUUUGCCUGAAUUUGGCUAUUUUAUCAAUUAAUGAUUUCUGGGUUUGGUGGAUUUUAAAUAUUUGCUGGUUUGUUUUCCAGGGAUCAACUAGCUAUUUGGAGAUAUGUGGGCGAGAAUAGAAAAUGGGCGUCUAGUUCUCCGUCUCUAUUACUUUGUGAUUUUAUGAUUUUCUUUAUAGUAAUUGGGUGUCCAUCACUACUAAUGCAGUGAAUUUUAUUUUGUCAAUUAAUGUUUUCCGAGUUUUUUGGAUUUUAAGUUUUGGCGUGUUUGUUUGCUAGGAAUGAACCAGUUGUUUGGAGAUAUGCAUUCGAGAUUGGAAAGUGGCUUCCGUGUCUUUAUUACUUUGUGAUUUUAUGAUUUUCUUUUAUCAUUGGUAAUUGGUCUGUUCUAGUUUGGUGAUUUUGUUUUUUGGUUAUGUGGUUUUCCAGGAUUCUGUUAGAUGGUAAUGGUGGAGCAUUAUAAGAGGGUGUAUCUGUUCUAUUCCUUAUAGUCAUGGAGAGGGCAAUUCUUCUAGUGUUUGUCUGCAUGUUUUAGUCAAUUAAUUGUUUUCAUAGUAAAUUAGUAUAUUUUUUGGUUGGUUUUAAUGUUUUUGUUUUUAGGAUUCAGGAGAUGGUGAUGAGAUGAUUAUGCCUCAUAUACCGGUUUUAUUUCACUCGAGUAAAUAGAGAACUGCACUAGAUUACUUUUGGGUGGUAAAUUGGUAAUGAUAAGGGAGCUCUAAUUUGUUAUUAUAUAUAAAUUUUAUUGAGCUUUAAGGUGUACUUUUAUGAUUUACAUGUGAAUUUUAGAUCUUUGGUAAUUAAUUACUCUUGAUCUGCUGGAUAUUCUAGUAUUCUAAAAGCUGCUUGGAGCACUUCACAUUCUCUCUCAUGGAUUUAAAAUGGGUUGUCUGAAUUUGAUUAUUUUAUCCAUUACUGAUUUCUGGAUUUGCUGGAUUUUAAAUAUUGGCUUGUGGGUUUUCUAGGGAGCAACUAGCUGUUUGGAGAUAUGUGGGCGAGAUUGGAAAAUGGGUUUUUAUUUCUUUCUGUCUCUGUUACUUUGUGCUUUAAUAAUUUCCUUAUAAUUAUUGGGCGUCUAUCCUUACUAGUGCAGUAAUUUUAUUUGUUGUUACGUGGCUUUCCAGGAUUCCAUUAGAAGGUGUAGCAAUAUGAAAAAGAUGCCCCUUUCCUAUUCCUUACAAUCAGGAGUUGGUGAUUGUUCUAGUGUUUCUUGUGUUUGUUUGCAUGUUUUAGACAAUAGGAUAAUUUUUAUCUCUGGUUUCCGAUUUCAGGAUUCAGGGGUUGGGAUGAGCAUGCCUCAUAUUGCAGUUCUCUUUAUUCUCAAGUAAAUAGAUAAUGAUUGGCUCAGAUAACCUCUUGAGUGCUGAUGAUAAGUGAGUACUAAUUUGGCAAUUUAUUAAUUAAUAUUUUUUUUUGAGUUUCAAGUCAUUGUUGUACAGAACUUAUAUGUAAAUAUUAGAUGUCUUUUUUUGGAUCCUUAUGAACAUGAAGUCUUUGAUUUAAAUGAGCUAAAAUGCACUUCUUGUGAACAAAUACUUACUUUUGAAAUUCUUUGGUUCUGCUCAUUAGGUCCAUUUUUCUCCUGCCCCGAAACAUAAUUGGUCGACUCUACACAUUUGCCCAUUAGGUCCAUUUUUAUCUUGUCCUGAGAUCUAAUUGGUCGAUUCUUCACAUAGGUUUUUUAUUUUCCAGAGUUGCAGAGUAUGAGGAGAGGUGUGCGGAGAUCAUUAGGGCCAUUUUUCUCCUGUUCCGAAAUUUAAUUUUCCAGAGUCACGGAAUCCACCAGUUUUUUGGGGAUAUGAAGAGAUUGUAAAAUGCUUUUCUGUCUCUCUGUCUCUAUUACUUUUUUGAUUUAGUGAUUUGUUUGAUCGUUGCUUUUCAGACCCUCUCAUUUUGUGUAUUGUAGGAUGAGAGAAAGUUUUUCUUUUAUUUUACUUAAUCAAAUUCUUCUUUUGCAUGUUGAUGGAUUAUGACUUAUGAGUGCCGGUUGUGAUCUGUUCAGGUCCUCAUAAUAUUAGGAAUUUAAUCUGACUAAUCAGAUUGGAAAAUCAUUAAAUUUGCUGGAUAUUCUAACAUUCCAGGAGCUGCUAGGAGACCUGUUUGUUUUGAAGGAUUGAAAAUGAGUAUUCUUGAAUUUAACUAUUUUAUCAAUUAAUGAUUUUUGAGUUUGGUGGAUGUUAAGGUCUGGCUGGUUUGUUUGCUAGGAAUCCACCAGUUGUUUGGAGAUAUACGUGCCAGAUUGGAAAAUUGGUUUCUGUGUCUCUUAUUACUUUGUGAUGUUUUUGUUAUUUUUGGUUUUUUGGGUGUAUGUCUGUUCUAGUUUGGUGAUUGUUUUUUUGGUUAUGUGGUUUUCCAGGAUUCUGUUAAAAGGUAAUGGUGGAGCAAUUUAGUAAGGUUUCUCUGUUCUAUCCCUUAUAGUGAAGGAGUGGGUGAUUUUUCUAGUGUUUGUCUGCAUGUUAAGUCAACUAAUUCUUUCUGAUAGAAAAUAGUAUAUUUUAGUUGGUUUAAUAUUUUCGUUUUAGGAUUGAGGAAAUGGAGAUGAGAUGAGUAUGCCUCAUGAUGUCGAUAGGAUUAGAUUGGAAAUCAUCAUCUUAGGGUUUGCCAGAUAUUCCAGCAUUCUACAAGCUGCUUGGAGCACUAUGUGUUCUCAAGGAUUGAAUAUGGGUUUUCCUUAAUUAAAUUAUUUUGUCAAUUAAUGAUUUCUAUUUUAAGUUUUGGCUGGUUUGUUUCUAGGAAGUCACCGGCUGUUUGGAGAUAUGAGGACGAGAUUGGAAACUGCGUUUCUCUGUCUCUGCUAUUUUUUGAUUUUUACUUUAUCCAGUUUUCUUUUCGAUGUUGGUGGAUCAUGAGUGUUGGUUGUGUUCUUUUCCAGGUCCUCGUAAUAUUAGGGAUAUAAUCUGACUGAUUGGAUUGGAAAAUCAUCUUAGAUUUACUGGAUAUUUUAACAUUCCACAAGCUGCUAGGAGCACUGUGUUUGUGUACUCAAGGAUUGAAAAUGAGUAUUCCUAAAUUAAUUAUUUUGGCAAUUAAUACUUUCUGAGUUUGGGAUUUCAAAUUUUGGCUGGUUGUUUGCUAGGAAUGUACCAGUUGUUUGGAGAUAUGCAUGCGAGAUUGGAAAAUGGGCUUCUGUGUUUUUAUUACUGUGUGAUUUAAUGAUUUUUGUUGGUUUUGGCUGUAUAUUUGUUCUAGUUUGGUGAUUUUGAUUGGUGGAGCAAUAUGAAAAGGUGCCUAUGAUUUAUUCCUUAUGAUCAGGGAGUCCGCGGUUUCUAGUGUUCACAAGGAUUACCAUGUGUUCCCAAGGUGCUGGGAACACUGUGUCCACAAGGAUUAAAAUGGGGUUGCCUCGGUGUAACUAUUUUAUCAACUUAAGAUAUUUGAUUGGUGGAGCAAUAUGAAAAGGUGCCUAUGAUUUGUUCCUUCUGACCAGGGAGUCCGCGGUUCUUCUGGUGUUUAUCUGCAUGUUUUAGUCAGCGAAUUCUUUCAAUAGAAAAUUGGCAUGAGUUCUUAGUUUUUUUAAUUUUUAUUUUCAGGAUUCGGGUGAUGGGAUUUGUGUGCCUCAUAUAUCAGUUCUUGUUGUCUCGAGUAAUUAGAGAACUAUCAUCUCAUAUCACUCUAGUGCUAAUGAUAAGGGAGUUCUAAAUUGUUACUUUAUCAAGUAACAAUUUUUCUAUCAAGUUUCAAGGUUUUUGACUUUCCAGAGUUUUUAUGAUUACGAGAAGUAUGUGGAGAUCGAUAAGGAAGGCCCUCAUAAUAUUGUUGUAAUCUGACUGGUCAAAUUAGAAAGUCCUUUUAGAGCUUGAUGGAUAUUGCAGCAUUCCCCAAGCUGCCUGGAGCAUUAUGCAAUCUCAAGGAUCAGAAAUGGGUGACUGAAUUUAACUCUUUUGCAAAUUUAUAUGAUUUUCAAGUUUGAUGGAUUUUCGGUUUUGGCUAGGUAUCCAACUAUUUUGUGAUUUUCUUGAUUACUGGUUUUUGGGUUUCCGUCUACAAGUUUGGUGGAUAUUUAGUAUUGGAUAUGUGGCUUUCCAGGUUUCCGUUAAAUGGAGGAGCUAUAUGAAGAGGUGUCUCUGUAGAAUAGCAGCAGUGAUUCUUCUAGUGUUAGCCAUGUGAAGAUGCGUCUCUGUUGCGUUCCUUAUAAUCAUGGAGUCGGUGAUUCUUCUAGUGUUUGUCUAUAUGUUUUUGUCCACUAAUUCUUCUGAUUAAAAAAUAGCAUAAUUUUUUAGUUGGUCUGCAUAUUCUAUCCAACUGAUUCUUGUGAUAAAAAAAUAGCAUGACGUUUAGUUUGUUUGGUUGCUGCUGUGUCUGUCUGCAUAUGUUUUUGUCAACCUCUUGAUUAAAAAUAAGUAUAAUUUUAGCUGCCAUUUAAGGUUUCAUUUAGGGAUUCAAAUGAAUAGAGAGCAUGCGCGCGCAUCACACCUGAGUGCUAAAGAUAAGGGUCCUUUAAUUUGACAAUCUAAUUAAUAUAUUAUAUCGAAUUUUAAGGUACAGAAACUUACAUUUGAAUCUUAUGUGCUCUGCUCUAAUUUAGAUUAUUUAAAUUGUCAUUUUCUGUGAACAAAUGAUUAGCCUGGAAAUUUGUUUGUACUACUGCUUAGGGCCCUUUUUCUUGUGUCUGAAGAUUCAAUUGGUUAAUUCUUUGGUAUGUUUCUGAUUUUCCAAAGUUUGAGGACUAUGAGAAGAAGUAUGCGGAGAUCAGUAAGGAUGGUCCUCUGUUUUAGUUUUGAUUAGCUCAUGGUUCUGAGGAAGUUCUUCUGAUAGGGUUUGAGAGGAUGUGUCUCCCUCUAAUUUUUGUCCUUCCAAUUAGUUCAAUUAUGCUACCUCUCUAAUAAGUA